rnacentral:rRNA from 1 species
AGAGAGUAGCAAUACUGUCUUAGUGGCGAACGGGUGAGUAACGCGUUGGUGACCUGCCCCGAAGAGAGGGAUAACAGUUCGAAAGGACUGCUAAUACCCCAUGAUAUCUGCCUAGUUAGAGAGGGCAGAUGAAAGGAGCAAUCCGCUUUGGGAGGGGCCUGCGUCCCAUCAGCUAGUUGGUAAGGUAAAAGCUUACCAAGGCGAAGAUGGGUAGGGGGCCUGAGAGGGUGACCCCCCACACUGGCACUGAAACACGGGCCAGACACCUACGGGUGGCAGCAGUAGGGAAUAUUGCACAAUGGGCGAAAGCCUGAUGCAGCAACGCCGCGUGCGCGAUGACGGCCUUCGGGUUGUAAAGCGCUUUUCGGGGAGAUGAGGAAGGACAGUAUCCCCGGAAUAAGGCUCGGCUAACUACGUGCCAGCAGCCGCGGUAACACGUAGGAGCCAAGCGUUAUCCGAAUUCACUGGGCGUAAAGCGCGUGUAGGCGGCUUGGUAAGUUGGAUGUGAAAGCUCCUGGCUCAACUGGGAGAGGACGUUCAAUACUGCCGGGCUAGAGGGCGACAGAGGGAGGUGGAAUUCCCGGUGUAGUGGUGAAAUGCGUAGAUAUCGGGAGGAACACCAGUGGCGAAAGCGGCCUCCUGGGUCGCACCUGACGCUCAGACGCGAAAGCUAGGGGAGCGAACGGGAUUAGAAACCCCGGUAGUCCUAGCCGUAAACGAUGUAGACUUGGUGUCGGUGGGGUAAAAGCCAUCGGUGCCGAAGCAAACGCGA